rfam:Afipia sp. GAS231 genome assembly, chromosome: I
CGAACCGGCGGGCUUGGGAGAGCUCAAGGGUUCACGGGAUCCGGCGGGCGGCUUGGGAGAGCAGGCUUCAAGGAUCGAGCAAAAGGGGAGAUUCCCGAUGGAGAAUACGCUUCUCGUCGGACUAUCACGGCAGAUGACGCUGG